GACGUAGGGCGCAAGCGUUGUCCGGAUUUAUUGGGCGUAAAGAGCUCGUAGGCGGCUCGUUGCGUCGGCUGUGAAAACCCGCAGCUCAACUGUGGGCCUGCAGCCGAUACGGGCAGACUAGAGUUCGGUAGGGGAGUCUGGAAUUCCUGGUGUAGCGGUGAAAUGCGCAGAUAUCAGGAGGAACACCAAUGGCGAAGGCAGCUCACUGGGACGAUACUGACGCUGAGACGCGAAAGCGUGGGGAGCAAACAGG
rnacentral:rRNA from 1 species